AUUCAUUCAUUCAUUCAUUACCCUUAAAAAUGCUGAAAAUAAUAGUACACAGCCAAUUCAACCUUAAAGUCCCAAAUCUAUGUUAUUUCACAGGCACUGCAAACAUGCUGCGCCAUUAUAUUUGAAUUGCUUAAAUUAACCAACGGGUGCGCAUCUGAAAUUGAACCAAUAAAAACAAAGUCUGCACUUGCAUGCGUGCCAGGGUGUAAAUGUCAAGUUCUUUUAAAGUUUUAACUAUUCCAUAAACUCCUAAAAGGUCGCAGCAAUGUAUCAUAUAUUACUGUCAGGACACAUUCAUUAAGAGUGAUAACUGAAUUGUUAGCUAAGAAGUAUUUGCAUUUUGCAUUGUAGCGUCAUAAGGGAUCAACUACUUGCUGGAGAUUUUGCUACAACAAUGAAACUUCUACAGAAUUACCCAGAUAUUGAUAUCCACACAAUUCUCUCCAAAGCAAUCGAACUCAAACGUCCAAGAGUAGUGGCACCCAAUCCUCCACCAACACAUCCAAGGCAGAAAGCUGGGUUCCAGUUCAAGAAGAGAUGACAACUGUUUGAUAAUACCAUGUCAUUUUUAAGUUCUCUAUCUGCCUUUUUAUAGCAAAAUUAAUGUCUACUAGAGACGUUUCAAGAAUGCGAGACCACGUUAUUACACGAACGAUGUCUUCCUACAGUGCCAAAUUCUCUCUAUAAGAAUUAUAGAAAAUAUAUUAAAAUCAGUGGGGAGAAUAAGGAAGUUGAUCUUGUGACUAAAUACGUCAUUUUCGUAUAGAAUAAAUUAUAUUGUGCAUCCCAAAAGUUGGGAGGGAAGAUUUCUAAGGGGAACGAGAAGGACAACUUUUUGCUAUGUCUCUUUGCUAUCUACCAAAAACCAUACUGAACUUUUUAAAGUUUUGUCAGUGUUUUGGGUUAACUUUCCGAAGAACGUAAUUUCAUCCUGUUUCAAUCACUUUAACCUCUGUUACUGUGGAUCAGAAAAUGGAGGGAAAACUCUAAGCUCAUUUCUAUGGAAACAUGUCAUGUUGCUUGAUAACGAAACUACCCCGGAGAAAUUUGUCGGUUCAUUUUAAUCUCAGACAUGACAUGUUUGUAGAUCCUCUGUUCAUUUGGGGCAAAAAGUUUCAUAUUCUAAUUUAUGAUAUCCUGGUUAUGAUUUGUCUCCUGUGUACCCAUGUUUAGUAUGGAAUCAGAGCUGUGAUUGGCUAAAACUUAAAGUGGCAUGCAUUAGAUACUAGACAUUAGCCAUUAGCUUCUCCAGAUGGAACCAGAGCUGUGAUUGGCUAAAACAUUGGGAGGCAUACAGUACCAUUUAGACAUUAGCCAUUAGACAUUACAAUUAAUGACCUUCCUUGAAAAAAAAAUUCCAGUUUAAGUUCCUCCUUGAAUGCUCUUGUUGGCAUUCUUUAGUCAUGAGAAGAGGAACACAUAGUGCUGAUUGAAAAUUAAUUUGUUGGUGUGCGGUGCAAGUUAAAGUGUAGAGAUCAGAGUAUAUAUGAUAGUACAGAUGUUAAUAUGAAUUUGAGGACGGAUAGCCGUUCAUAAUUGAUUUCCGGUGACUUGUUUCUCGUUGUCAUGGAAAAUGGACAUUCCAUUUUGUGCCAUUGUUCGCCUCCUUACAAAGUUCUGGGAUUAAAGAUCAUCCGGAAAAUAAAGGUUGGGAAUCGAAUGGUCUACUUUUUGUAAAAAAAAAA